rnacentral:rRNA from 1 species
AAGGUUAAGCCUCACGGUUCAUUAGUACCGGUUAGCUCAACGCAUCGCUGCGCUUACACACCCGGCCUAUCAACGUCGUCGUCUUCAACGUUCCUUCAGGACCCUUAAAGGGUCAGGGAGAACUCAUCUCGGGGCAAGUUUCGUGCUUAGAUGCUUUCAGCACUUAUCUCUUCCGCAUUUAGCUACCGGGCAGUGCCAUUGGCAUGACAACCCGAACACCAGUGAUGCGUCCACUCCGGUCCUCUCGUACUAGGAGCAGCCCCCCUCAGUUCUCCAGCGCCCACGGCAGAUAGGGACCGAACUGUCUCACGACGUUCUAAACCCAGCUCGCGUACCACUUUAAAUGGCGAACAGCCAUACCCUUGGGACCUACUUCAGCCCCAGGAUGUGAUGAGCCGACAUCGAGGUGCCAAACACCGCCGUCGAUAUGAACUCUUGGGCGGUAUCAGCCUGUUAUCCCCGGAGUACCUUUUAUCCGUUGAGCGAUGGCCCUUCCAUUCAGAACCACCGGAUCACUAUGACCUGCUUUCGCACCUGCUCGCGCCGUCACGCUCGCAGUCAAGCUGGCUUAUGCCAUUGCACUAACCUCCUGAUGUCCGACCAGGAUUAGCCAACCUUCGUGCUCCUCCGUUACUCUUUAGGAGGAGACCGCCCCAGUCAAACUACCCACCAGACACUGUCCGCAACCCGGAUCACGGGUCCACGUUAGAACAUCAAACAUUAAAGGGUGGUAUUUCAAGGUCGGCUCCAUGCAGACUGGCGUCCACACUUCAAAGCCUCCCACCUAUCCUACACAUCAAGGCUCAAUGUUCAGUGUCAAGCUAUAGUAAAGGUUCACGGGGUCUUUCCGUCUUGCCGCGGGUACACUGCAUCUUCACAGCGAGUUCAAUUUCACUGAGUCUCGGGUGGAGACAGCCUGGCCAUCAUUACGCCAUUCGUGCAGGUCGGAACUUACCCGACAAGGAAUUUCGCUACCUUAGGACCGUUAUAGUUACGGCCGCCGUUUACCGGGGCUUCGAUCAAGAGCUUCGCUUGCGCUAACCCCAUCAAUUAACCUUCCGGCACCGGGCAGGCGUCACACCGUAUACGUCCACUUUCGUGUUUGCACAGUGCUGUGUUUUUAAUAAACAGUUGCAGCCAGCUGGUAUCUUCGACUGAUUUCAGCUCCACGAGCAAGUCGCUUCACCUACGUAUCAGCGUGCCUUCUCCCGAAGUUACGGCACCAUUUUGCCUAGUUCCUUCACCCGAGUUCUCUCAAGCGCCUUGGUAUUCUCUACCUGACCACCUGUGUCGGUUUGGGGUACGAUUUGAUGUUACCUGAUGCUUAGAGGCUUUUCCUGGAAGCAGGGCAUUUGUUGCUUCAGCACCGUAGUGCCUCGUCAUCACGCCUCGGCCUUGAUUUUCCGGAUUUGCCUGGAAAACCAGCCUACACGCUUAAACCGGGACAACCGUCGCCCGGCCAACAUAGCCUUCUCCGUCCCCCCUUCGCAGUAACACCAAGUACAGGAAUAUUAACCUGUUUCCCAUCGACUACGCCUUUCGGCCUCGCCUUAGGGGUCGACUCACCCUGCCCCGAUUAACGUUGGACAGGAACCCUUGGUCUUCCGGCGAGCGGGCUUUUCACCCGCUUUAUCGUUACUUAUGUCAGCAUUCGCACUUCUGAUACCUCCAGCAUACCUCACAGCACACCUUCACAGGCUUACAGAACGCUCCCCUACCCAACAACGCAUAAGCGUCGCUGCCGCAGCUUCGGUGCAUGGUUUAGCCCCGUUACAUCUUCCGCGCAGGCCGACUCGACCAGUGAGCUAUUACGCUUUCUUUAAAUGAUGGCUGCUUCUAAGCCAACAUCCUGGCUGUCUGGGCCUUCCCACAUCGUUUCCCACUUAACCAUGACUUUGGGACCUUAGCUGGCGGUCUGGGUUGUUUCCCUCUUCACGACGGACGUUAGCACCCGCCGUGUGUCUCCCGUAAUAACAUUCUCCGGUAUUCGCAGUUUGCAUCGGGUUGGUAAGUCGGGAUGACCCCCUUGCCGAAACAGUGCUCUACCCCCGGAGAUGAAUUCACGAGGCGCUACCUAAAUAGCUUUCGGGGAGAACCAGCUAUCUCCCGGUUUGAUUGGCCUUUCACCCCCAGCCACAAGUCAUCCGCUAAUUUUUCAACAUUAGUCGGUUCGGUCCUCCAGUUAGUGUUACCCAACCUUCAACCUGCCCAUGGCUAGAUCACCGGGUUUCGGGUCUAUACCCUGCAACUUAACGCCCAGUUAAGACUCGGUUUCCCUUCGGCUCCCCUAUUCGGUUAACCUUGCUACAGAAUAUAAGUCGCUGACCCAUUAUACAAAAGGUACGCAGUCACACGCCUAAGCGUGCUCCCACUGCUUGUACGUACACGGUUUCAGGUUCUUUUUCACUCCCCUCGCCGGGGUUCUUUUCGCCUUUCCCUCACGGUACUGGUUCACUAUCGGUCAGUCAGGAGUAUUUAGCCUUGGAGGAUGGUCCCCCCAUAUUCAGACAGGAUACCACGUGUCCCGCCCUACUCAUCGAGCUCACAGUAUGUGCAUUUUUGUGUACGGGGCUGUCACCCUGUAUCGCACGCCUUUCCAGACGCUUCCACUAACACACACACUGAUUCAGGCUCUGGGCUGCUCCCCGUUCGCUCGCCGCUACUGGGGGAAUCUCGGUUGAUUUCUUUUCCUCGGGGUACUUAGAUGUUUCAGUUCCCCCGGUUCGCCUCAUUAACCUAUGGAUUCAGUUAAUGAUAGUGUGACGAAUCACACUGGGUUUCCCCAUUCGGAAAUCGCCGGUUAUAACGGUUCAUAUCACCUUACCGACGCUUAUCGCAGAUUAGCACGUCCUUCAUCGCCUCUGACUGCCAGGGCAUCCACCGUGUACGCUUAGUCGCUUAA